rnacentral:rRNA from 1 species
UGCAGUCGAGCGGAUGAAGGGAGCUUGCUCCUGGAUUCAGCGGCGGACGGGUGAGUAAUGCCUAGGAAUCUGCCUGGUAGUGGGGGACAACGUUUCGAAAGGAACGCUAAUACCGCAUACGUCCUACGGGAGAAAGCAGGGGACCUUCGGGCCUUGCGCUAUCAGAUGAGCCUAGGUCGGAUUAGCUAGUUGGUGAGGUAAUGGCUCACCAAGGCGACGAUCCGUAACUGGUCUGAGAGGAUGAUCAGUCACACUGGAACUGAGACACGGUCCAGACUCCUACGGGAGGCAGCAGUGGGGAAUAUUGGACAAUGGGCGAAAGCCUGAUCCAGCCAUGCCGCGUGUGUGAAGAAGGUCUUCGGAUUGUAAAGCACUUUAAGUUGGGAGGAAGGGUUGUAGAUUAAUACUCUGCAAUUUUGACGUUACCGACAGAAUAAGCACCGGCUAACUCUGUGCCAGCAGCCGCGGUAAUACAGAGGGUGCAAGCGUUAAUCGGAAUUACUGGGCGUAAAGCGCGCGUAGGUGGUUCGUUAAGUUGGAUGUGAAAUCCCCGGGCUCAACCUGGGAACUGCAUCCAAAACUGGCGAGCUAGAGUAUGGUAGAGGGUGGUGGAAUUUCCUGUGUAGCGGUGAAAUGCGUAGAUAUAGGAAGGAACACCAGUGGCGAAGGCGACCACCUGGACUGAUACUGACACUGAGGUGC